AUGGUGGCAUUGGUAAAUGACUCUAAUGCCCAAAGAAAAAUAUUACAAAUGCCGCUGUCUCAGCCACCAAUCGGGCGCCGCUCUCCAGCACCGGCGGUGGCUCCUCUCCGGCGCGGAGGGCACCUACAUUUGCAUGAUAAAUUGACCAGACAGGCGGCAGCCAAUGAAAUAUUCAAAUUAGGCCGGAGGGGAUGGGAUGGAGUCCCUGGGGCUCCCCAUUUGAGCCGUUGGCUGGAGCCGGCCUUACUACCUCUCCAUCAGCGCCCUCUAGAGGCGGGACAACGCGGGCGGCAGCUCUGGCCCAAGUUUUCAGGGACCACUUCUGGGGAGCAGCAGUAGUCACCAGAGACUAUAAAGUGGGGGACAGCCUUGCUGAGCAGCUCUGCAGGAUAGAAUGAAUAUGAGAAGCAGGUGAGUGAUGAGCCCAACCCAAACCACCACCACAUUUACUUCCAAGCCUGUCCGUAGUUUUUCUAAUUUAAUUUUUAUUUUAUUUUGUGAUUUUGCUGGGGAUUGAACUCGGGUCCUUGCUCUUGCAGGCAGGCAGCGGAACCACUGAGCCAAAUCCCUGGCCCUCUAAUUUAAUUUUAAAAUUCGCGUGGAGUAAAAUCCACUCUGAUUUGCGGCAGGUCCGCAGUCACACAUCUACCACCGCAGUCCAGAGUUGGGACGAUCCAUUACCCACUCCCCCACGCCCCUGCCGGUUCCUCUGCGCUGCCCUUUUGUAACCCAUCUCUCCACCACCUGCCCUAAACUCCCACCCUGCCCCGAGAGGAGCCAUUGUACCACUGACUCUUUUUUCCUAUAGUUUUGCCUUUCUAAGAAUGGAGCACACGUGGACUUUAUACCGAUGUGCAUCGGUUUGAAUCAGACUUCUAUCACAUGGUACAGAGCAUUGGGAUUUUACCAGCGUUUUUGGGGGUGUCGAUAAGUUUUGUCUCAUCCAUGCUGAAAAAUACUUCUUUGUCUGAAUGUACAGAAAUCUGUUGACCCAUUCCUCUCAACUGAAGGACAAUUGAAUUGUUCCUGGAGAAUAAAGCUGCUACCCAGUAGCUUUUAUGUGGAUAGCUUGUCUUUCGUCUGAGGUCUUAUUAUAUAGAAGUGUCUUUGCUAGGCCCUAUGGAGGAGGAAGUCUAAUGUUGUAAGAAAGAUUCCAACCAGUUAGGCUUUUUCUUAAAAAGAAACAAACAAACAAAAAAAACAAUAGAAAGGGCUGGUGAUACAGCUCAGUGCAAAGACCCUGGUUCAACCCCAAGUGCAAACAAAAACAGACAAACAAAAACUGCCAAAUGGUUCCCUAAAGGAAUUAUACCAUUGUGUAUCUACCCCUGAAAAGAACAGGAAGUUCUACUUUCUGCCAAGGAGGCUCUGAUGGACAUAAAGUUCUUUGCAAAGACUGAUAGAGCCUGGCCAGGGGCCUAGUGGGAGAAUUAGUUAAGUCUAAAACCUUAACCCCUGUGGUCUCCCAGCAGGUCCUUUGGAAUGGGGACAGAGUAUGUACCUCCAUUUCCAGAUCGCUUCCUUUCCGGCGGGGGGGGGCACAGGUAACCACGCCCCCACCCAUUUUAUGGAUGAGGCCACGGCCCUGCUGCUCUUGGUUAAACCAGCCUGACUUUCUACAGUACAAUCAAGAGCAAGAUUCCUGAGUUCACAAAGUGAAAUGAAGUGUGAUCAUUUGGAAUGUUUCUUACUCACACAACAAAAGCUAGGAAACUCAGCAGGUUCCCUUCCAAGGUGAUAACGGAUUACAUGGCCUUUGUCCCAGAAUUCCAGUGCCCAUCUCUGCCAGCCUUACCGGAUGGCCUUAGAUGGAACAGAAGAUCAGCUCAUUUCAUAUGUGACCUCUGGGAAUGUGGGGUAGCACCCUAGCUGUGGAUGGAACAGGCUUGUGAAUCUGCAGACAUGGAAAUGAGGCCCCACUGCCAGGGGCCCCAUGGCCAGAGGUCCUGCUUUCUGGCUCACAUCCCGUAAGUUGUUGCUUCCUUCAUUGUAGGCCCCAUUUCUAAGGCACCUUCACGUUUCAAACGUCUUGAGAAUAUGUUUAAUUAGAACUUGGCCACACAGCCUUUUAAAAUAAAACAGAAGGGACCGGCU
rnacentral:lncRNA from 1 species